UGUGGUGAUGAUGGCAAGAAGGACCCACCUGUUCCCAUACCGAACACAGAAGUUAAGCUUCUUAGCGCGAGGAUAGUGACGGGUUUCCCGUUGUGAAAGCCGGACGUUGCCACGC
rnacentral:rRNA from 1 species